AGCGCGGCGGGCGGCGCGGGUGGUGAGGGCGGCGGGCCCGCGGCUGGCUGCUCGUGCCCCGCGAGCGCCCCGGGCAAGAAGAGCUCGCCGCAGUCCUUGGCGGGCGGGGACGGAGCUGCGGGCGCGCCCAGCCCUCCACUGUCCUGUCAGCCGCGGCCACCACACACACGCACACACAGACACACACAUUCACACACGCGCGCGCACACACACACACACACACACACACACACACAUACACACACACACACAAAGAGCGCGGCGGCGGUGCGGGGAGGCUCGCCCGGGCCCGCAGCGCUCAGGCCGCGGAGACAAUGCGGCGGGCCGGACUCCGCGACGUGCGAGCCGGGAAAAGUUUGAGGCUUCUCCUCAGGCUGGGCCGAGCCGGGCCGCGGCUUUGGGGAGCCGGCUUCGGGACGGGGCCCGCGAGCUCGAGCGCCUGCGCGGCCCGAGGCGUGAGGAGAGCCUUUAAUACUUUUUUUUGGAGCGGGCGGGGAGAACAAAUACAAGUGCGGUCGGGCGAGAGGCGCUGGCGUGCCGCUGACGCGGGGACGGUAUCCGUGGGAACCUCUCGGGGGCGAAGGCUGUCCGGGGCCUGGCGGGGGCGGGGUGGAGAGGUUAGAAGGUCGCAGAGCUGCGCUGCUUGCGACUGGCUCUGCUUGACCUUGGACCAAUGAUUUAACCGCUUAGAUCACCUCGUGGGUGAUCUCGGAGGCGACAGCCGCUCGAGUCUUGUAGCUUUGAAAUGUGUCUCCGAUGGAGAUUUUUUUUUUUCUUUUCUUUUCUUUUUUCUCCAAGCCUCGUUGUGGUGCGGGAGUUGUGAAAUGGUAGGCCGGGAUAUAUUUAUAUGCACCCGGGACUCACCCUUCAGCCUUUCUCAGAAGUAACUUUUAAGUCGGGUGGCUUAAACACACCGAUCCUUCCAGAGUGCAAAAUAAGCCCUGGAAAGUCAUUGAAGAAGGAAAAGAGGAAGCACACUGGAUGAGUUAAGUAGAGCUGAGCACAUGGAAGGUCACAUUAGGAAGUAGGAAAUUGUUGAGCAGCGGGCAAAUGGUUAGGAGGAAGAUGGAGGUUGCAGUGCCAGCUAUUAACUUGGGUUUCAUGGUAGCUUCCUGGCUCAGGUGCUUUCUCUAUCCUCAUCCCCCUUUGUACCAUCGUAUUUUAGCACUUAAUUAUAUACUUUCUUGAAUCCCUUUGCAAAGCACUGAUUAUGUGGUCUGUCUCAGUCUUUGAAUCCUGGCUUUAUAUUUUAAUUUAGUAUUACUGAUUCUGAACUUUCUGGGCUUAGGGGUAGCAGCUGUUUUUCUUCUCAUGGGGAGGUGGAGAGGGUCUAGCUCUUAGAAUUAUUGAAAGGAUUAGGUUUCUGCCUAUGAUGCUAGGAAUGGAUACAGAAUUCAGCUUCAGAUUUGCUUUCUCAUACAGGCAUUUGUCAGUAAAGAACAGGAGUUCUGGCCAAAGAGGUUCCUACUUAGAGACUUAUGACACUACCUGUGCUUAGUAUUUAGAUUUGUCAAAGUACUUUCUCUAGCAUCAGUUCAUUUGCUCCUUACAGCAGCUCAUUAGAGAAUGCUGUUAGCAUAAGUGAACCAAUUCCAAUGCAGCACUUCAAAUCCUUUCUCUUCAUCUCUCUUCUCUUUGCUUGUCAAGAAAAGGAGUCCCAUCCUGCUCUAAAAACUAUCUCUUCAUAGGUUUAGGAACAACCAAUCAUUGUGGCUUAGCUCAAUGGCCAUGUCUUUGUGUUGAACUACACAGAAUCUGACCAUUUUCUAGUCCUAGAUAGUUCAAAGAGUCCCAACAUCUUUAAAACUCUCACCCUACUUGAAUUCAUAUGGUAGCUACAACCAUUUGGCCAAUUAUUACCUAGUUAUAAAGUCUUAAUGAGAACAUUAUGAAAAAAGAAAGCACUGGACCAAAUGAGUUUUAAGACUUCCCAGAGUUUGUGUGAGCCAAGUCAGUUUGCUCUACUUUCCCCAUCCUUGAAUGAAGAUGAUCUUACUAUAAGCAUCUUCCCAUUUUGAGGGAUUGAGUAUACCUGGAUGCAAAUGUUUUUAUAAGACCUGAAUGCCUUAGGACCUGUUCUAUCCCAGAGAUUUAUAAAUGAAAAGUAUUCACUUUAAAAUUCCACAUACCUUUUCUGAUAAAUGGAAUAUCAAAAAAAUUACCUGGGGGACAAAUUAAGUUCCUGUUGAUAGAUAUUAAAAAGCAAAAACAACAAAAAAAAAGUGUGUAUGUGUGUGUGGGGGGUAAAUUUGUUCCAGGACCCACCCCUCUGUAGAUACUAAAAUCUGUGAGUAUAAAGCCUUUAUAGAAAGUAGCUUAGUAUAUGAACAUAACCUCCACAUAUUUUGUCUCAUCUAAAGCAAUCUCUGGAUGACUUAGACCUAAUAUAACAUGAUCCAUGUAAGUAGUUGCUAUAUUGUGUUGUUCAGGGAGUAGCGACAAGCUAAAGUUUAUACAUGCUUAAUAUUAAAUUAAUAUAUUUGUUUGUUUUAUGUAUUGAGACAAGGUAUUGCAUUAACCCAAUGUGGACUAGAACUUACUGUGUAGUCUAUGCUGUCCCUGAAUUGAUAAUUCUCGAGUUCAGCUUUACAAAUUCUGGAAUUCUGAGGCAUGUGGCAUGGAGCUUGGCAUACUUUUACACACACACACACACACACACACACACACACACAUGAUCCAUAGAAACUAGAAUGUCAUAUGUGAAAACCAAAGUUAUUUUACAUUUCAUUUUUAUUGACUAAUGCUGUGUAAUACUUGGCUGUGUGUUCUUUUUUGAAUCAUUGUGUAACAAAGUCAUAGAUGGAAAAAAACUCUAGGUUAGAUACAAGAUGGACAGUCCACUAAUCUGGCUGGUGAGUAUUGUAUAAAACUGUGUGUGUGUGUGUGUGUGUGUGUGUAUGUGUGUGUGUGUGUAUCUCACGUGCACAUUAUGCCUAAGUUAAGGAUGCCCUGAAAUUAUAAGAUGCUGUUAUCCAUUGACCAGACUUUAGGGAUAUCUCUUUAAAGUGUGUUGACAUUUAAUUGACAUUUGAAGGUUCAUUCUGUUAAUCAUACUCAAAGUGCUAAAGCUAUGGUUGACUGCUUUGGAAUUUUUACGUUCAGUCGUGCUUAGCAUAUAAAGUCUCUGGCAUAAUUGCUGCUUAUUUAGAGAAAGUUUCCUUCUCUCAGAAAAUGUGAAUUAUGCUUGUGUUGUUUUGUUUUUAAAACUUUGCUUCAGGCUAGGUAAUGAUAGAGGUUUGAAUUUAAGUCUUUUCCUGUUAGUUGUAUGGCGGUAUUGUUUUUUCUUACAUAAGUAAUGGAAAUUGUUUGGAUAAAUGAAGAGUACUUUUAUUCAUGUAAGAACUAGAGCUCUUCACAGCACAGUGUUAAAAUUUAAACAAGUAUAACUCUUAAAGUUGUGUAUUUUUCAACAAACUUUUGAGAGCCUUUCAAUUGUAUUAUGGUGGAUUGAAACUAUAAAUGCAAUUUUUUUUUACUGAAUAAGAGUUCAAAAGAACUAUUUUCAUAGUAAACUAUAUUGACUUAUUGUCAGUAUAAUUUUAUUAUAAACACACUGUAAAAAUACAAAAAACCCAAUUAUUUCUUUUUAAAAUGCUAACAUUUUAUUGCUUUAUCCAGAGAAUAUCUGAUGAAAUGUUUUAAGAUUUAUGGGACUUAAAUUUAUGAAAAUGGACUUUGGGAGUAUUUUUGAUAUAGUUAGUUCAAUGGACUUCUAAAUUGGUGAAUUUUUUUUUCUUUCUUUCUUUUGGUUAGUUUACUUAAUAUUGUCCAUGGUAAAAUGGUAACAAUUCUUACAUAGCUUAGAUUGGCCUUGAAAUCAUGACCCUCCACCCUCCAAAAUAUUAAUUUUUUUUCAAUUUUUAAUUUUAGGUGUAUGUACAUUCUGCCUGAAUAUUUAUCUGUACCAUAUGUGUGCCUGAUACCCAUGGAGAUUGGAAAAGGGUGUCAAAUACCCUGAGACUAGAGUUACAGCCAGUUAUAAGUCUCCAUGUGGAUGAUAGGACUAGAACUUGCGGUCUCUGGAAGAUUAUCACUAACUCUUCAGCCCCCAAAUUAUUAUUUUUAAUAUUUAUGGAAAUAACUUUUUUCUAAAUUAUGAUUGAAAAAAUAACGUUUUGACCAUUUUUAAUGAUUAAUCUUUCAAGUACCAUAUGUAAUUUUUAAUGUUUUUACCUUAAAACAGCUAUUAAGUAGGAAAAUUUAAAUUGAAGUUUAAACCAGAAUUUUUACUUCCAUGAGAAAUUUUAGACUUUGCAUACAUAUAUGGCCUUCAUGCUUAAAUGCAUUCUGCUGUAAAUUUUGAGAUAUCAUUUACGCAUUCAUAUAAUUCAAGUAAAGCAAACAUCUCUCUUGGCACAAAAUUUGAUAUUUCUUAUUAAUUUUCUAUAUUGUCUUUUCUAUUCUUCCCUGUCCUCCAUUAGAACUGUUCUUUUUAUUUUAUGAUGAACCCUCCUUCAAAUGAAAGGUCAUUUUCUUUUAGACAUUUAACUUCAGACUAUCUUAUUGUGGGCAUAGAGGAUAUACCGUGAGACACAAUAUUAUUUCAGUAAAACCUAAAGAAUACAAGUCAAUGCAGUUCAUAUGCACAAUACUCAGACCAAGGAUGACAUCUCAAACUUUGUACACUCUGGUUUCGGUGCAUUUUCAUCAAUAGCUAGUAUUUUAAAAUCAGAUAUAACUAUACUUAAUUUUAAUAUAAAGACUGAUAUCCACAGGAAGCUUUUUUUUAGUUUUAGUCUGUUGAAUGGAUAAUACAUUAACAAAAAUAAAUACUUGCUAUUAUUCUUUUAUUUAAUAUUCUGUCGUUCAGAUCUGGAGAUGGCCACAGGUCAUUUAUUUAACGCAUUUAUGAGUUUUCACAUACUAAAUUUUGGCCUAAACACUUCGCAAGUGUCAGUUUAUUUAAUAUUGCCUAUGUUUUUCAUUUUGCAAAUGAGAAAGUUAUGAUACAAGUAUUUAUGGCAGUGUCUUUAGUUGGGUAGACCGGCUGUAAGAAAAGUAGGUAACAGUCUUGGUACUAAAUAUGUGCAGGAUCUGGGGAGCUAUGGAUGUGUUUAUUAGGAAAAGAUGGGACUCAAGCGUGCCCAGUAUAAAGAGCAGCAUGUGGUUCUAGAAGCACAAGUCAGAUGCUCUCAGGUUGCACCAGCCCACCAGGUGGAGAGGAGGCUCCUGCCCUAGUGCUGAGGAGCCCUCAUGUCUCAUGUCUUCCUCCUCCUCCAGGCAUUUUCGGCUGACUCAGGCAGUUUUGCCCCAGGAGGGUUUUCCUUCUCCCUCACUUGGAAGCCCGGGCUUUGUAAAUAAUAGGAGAAUUUUUUUUUUCUCCCGGGUUUAAUUUCAGGCCAGUUUAUCCUCCCCUUGCCCUUCAUAUAUUUCUUUGAAAAUAGUGCUCAAUAGUGUGUUACAAUUGUAUAUAACUAUGAGACUGAUAGUGAGUAACAGAAUUAAAGGGCAAAGCAAUCUUUUGUUUGAAUUCAGGAGAGAAGAUGAGAGCGGUUAAAUGUAGAAAAUGAGGAGAAAAGAAACAUUGUGGAAAUGAAGAGAUAAAUUGGGAUUGGGAGGCUGAUGGAAACUGAGAGGAGGAUUGCUGCUUUGCUUCUCACCCACACCUCCUCCCCACAUUCACAGUAACAGGCAAUGUCACUGUCUUUUGCCUGACAUGCUGAGCCAGGGAGUUGAGACUCGUGGGAGUGGAAAUUUUCUUCCUUUUGCAUUUUGAGACUUGGGUGUGCUGCUUUAAGAUGCCACUGGUAUCUCAGUAAUGUUUGUUUAUACCGGAUAUUUUCUGGGUAGCCAUUGUGGAUAGGGCUUAUAAUACAAACAGUACUGUUAGGAAGACUGCAGAAUCUCCGCUGCUAUGUUUAUCUUACUAGUUAAAAACCUGCUAGCACUUCUGAGCACGUUUAGAAAACUCCAGAGGCAAUGUUAAGAAUAGCUUUAGUAGAAAGAAAGAAAGAGAGAGAGAGAGAGAGAGAGAGAGAGAGAGAGAGAGAGAGAGAGAGAAAAGAAAGAAAGGAGGAAGGGAGGAAGGAAGGAAGGGAGGAAGGAAAUAAAUUAAGAUUUGGUGUUGACCAACAUGCAAGUUUUUCUUUAGACAGUAUAAGUUAGGGUUGAGCAUUUUUUAAAACAAGUGCAAAGGUAGGGUUUGUUUUUUUAAAAAUAUUGUUUUCUUAAUCAUCUAGAUAAAAGUGCAGCACUUUCAUGUCACAGAAUAUAAAAUUAAGGUGAGAAAGAAUUUGGAGGGAUUCUAGUCUUAUAUUUAAAUUCCAUUUUGGUGACUUAUAAAGAUCCUUAUUCAGAUCAUGGGUCUCAAAGUAUUUCUUCCUGAUUUAUGAUUGUAAUAGAACACAGUAAUUAAAAUUGUGAUCAUCUCAAAAAAGGCACAUUGCUAGUCUUAUUUUAAACUUUCUGGUAACUAAUUUUACACCUCUCCUUCACUUUUUAUCUUAUGUGUAUAAUAGGUAGAUUACGCAUUCACAUUUAUGAAAAAUAGUCACUUUAAAUAACAAUGUUGAGGUAUAUGGUAAAACUAUUGAUUUGGAGAAAGUAAUUUCCAAGUGAUUGUUUCCUAGGCAUCUGAUAGGGUUUGUUCAGAUCCCCAUAUAUGAAAUAAAGAGAAUUAACAGUGCCUUUCCCAGCCGUGACAUGGCCCUGGAAUUCUGUUCAAACAUUCGUGGACUCUAGGAAACAGAAAGGGAUUCCCUUGUAUUUAAUCUUGUACUUAUAUAUUUUUUCCUAUUGUCAUGAAAACAUUUCUCCUCCUCUGACACUGUUCUCAUUAGACUCUAAAUUACCUCUGUGCCCACUUUUCCAUGUUAGACAGACAUGGAACCUGGGCCUAGAAGCUUGUAGAGUUGUUCCCAAGCUGCCUUGCUCUCUCAUCCCAGACCCAUGAGCUUCACAACUGCCGCUUGUUUAUUGCUGCUUUUCCUGUGCUUGUGCUGUUCACCUGGCCUGAGCUGUCUUUUAACUUCACUCGUAAUGCUUAACUUUACAAGUGAAAUUUGAGCCAGUCACAUUGGAAAUGUCAGCCAUUCCUAGUGGUUCAUUUCACAUUCAGCAAAUCCACUGAGUGCUUAUUGACUGUUUAACUGUUAUUUGAAUAAAAGUGUUUUUGUUGUGUCUUUUUUUCUUGCAGAUUUAUAGUUAUUUCAUGAAAAUCUAAAAAAAUAAAAUCUUAUUUGAGCCACUGAACUUUAGAUAACUCAAAACACUUUAAGUCAAAUAUUAACUUGCCAUAAAACUCUCCUGAAAGUGUUUAAUUUUCAGAUUAAGCAAGCUAUUUUCAGCUAAAUUGCCAUUCUCUUAUGAAAUGGUAUAAAGUUGUGAAAGCUGAUUGAAAGGUUGGAUUGUGAAUAAGACUUUUGUCCUGAUUUUUAUACGCUUUAUUGCUAUGGACCUUUUUUGUUCCCUGCUUGUAUUCCAUAUUUCUUACCAAACAGUUCUGUAGACAAGUUCUUCUACAGAAAGCUUUAUAAGUUAGCUUCUAACUGCUAUGUCUGUAACGAUACUUUCAAACAGUUGUGUAAUGAAUGCUUCUAUUUAAAAAGAUGUGGGUGUGGAAAGUGAUGGUGAAUGAGUUCAGGGUAAUUGGUGACUCUGUAUUAGAAAUAUCAUUAGUUAAGGGAAACCUGCUUCCAUGAUUUAUAUAUCUUUAAUUUUAAAAAUCUUUCUACCUCCUUUAUGCAGUUCCCACUGUAUCUCAUAAAUUAAAAAAAAUUAAGGAAUUAGAAUCAUAGUGCUUUAUAGCUGUAAGGAUUCUUUAGAGAUUUUAAUUAACCCUCUUAUAGAGAAAAUUGACAUUGUGUGAUCUAAUGAAAUCAGGUAGCUAUUGGGUUUAAAAACCCAAAUAACAUUUUAAUAUUUUGUUUCCAUUAGUAUAUAUGCUGUUCUACUUAAGCUACCCUAACUGCUGAUAAUCAGAAAAUGGUAAUGAGGGGACAUAACUAAUAGGGACAUUGGUCCCUUGUCUUUUUACACAUACCUUGGUCAUUUCUCCAGGGAGUUCUAUGAAGGGCAGGUAUUGCUGUUUCCUUUCAUAGAAAAAGUAGCCCAGACUCAAAAUUAUAGAUCACCCUUAGCCCCCAGGUCUGCCAGGUAAUUCUAUGUUCCUUGUCUUUCUGUUAUUUAAGAAUCACCAGCUGGUCUUGGAGAAUUCUCACACGACAGAGGGUGGGGAGUAACAUCUUCCUAUUGACUUUGGCUGUCUUUGUUGAGUUGUAAGUUCCCCCAAAAGGCUGUAUAAUUGUAAAUAUGGUGCAUUUUAAGAUGAUGUCUUAGAGAUUCAGCCAGCAUAUAACAAGUACCCACUUUCUGCAGGGCAUCUCUUGGGCACUUCAGUAGAUGCAGAGGUAGAAUCUUAACCACAGGUAGAGAGAAACUAAAGGUAGUCUCUCCUUUCCAAAGACUUGCUUUCAUGGGAAUAUGUGAAAUAUACUGGUCCCUAUGUCUGAAAUCAGUCGUUCUUUCUAAAUAUGUGUAUUAAAGUUCAUAUGAAAGUAAUGUACACUGUAUAGAAAAGCAGGAAAGUGAGAUUUUAACAUAGUAACUGACUUCUUUUUUGUCUUGACUUUUUUUUUUUAACUUGAUAGUCUAAUACUUAAAGCAUAACACUCUGCCAAGGCAUAGCUUUGAAAGCAUAGUUAUAAUUGCUUUCAGAAUGAGUCAGUUUGGAAAUAUGGUAUUCUGGACAUUUUAUGACAAUUUAUUAUUAAAGACUCUAAAAUAGAUGCUUUAUAAAUGCUUUCUAAAAUUAAAAAAAUGGGUAAGUAGUAGAUUACUCUAUACUUAGCAAUACUAGAUAACUCAAUUUACUAUCUAUCUAUCUAUCUAUCUAAGUUAAAAGUGGUGUUUUUCAGUUAGUGAUAUUGGUAAACAGACUUUUUUCUUUUGAAAUAGUCUUACUCUUCUUAUUCAUACUAGCCUUGAACUCCUGGUCUCAAGUAAUCCUUCUAAAACUACAAGUAUGUAGCAGCCCCACCUCAAAUAAUGGUUUUGAGACAGUUUCCCUAUAUAGCCCUGCCUGAUCUGAAGCACCCUUAUAUAUUGUGUAGCCAGGCUAGCCUCAGCUUCUGCCUCCUGAGUGCUGUGAUUACAAGUAUGCUUCACCAUGCCUGUUAAAAAAAUAUUUUAAAAGGCAACAUUUGUUAUAAAAGUGUUCACAUCUGAAGCAAUAUAUUACCUUCAAGGUAUAGUACUGACCAUGCUGAGUUUUUACUGUAUGUGAAUUAAAGCUUUAGUUUUGUUUCUUUUUUAAAGCAUUUCAGCAUAUGAGCUCAUUUCUGUCCUGUGAUUGUUACAGUAAAACUUAAUAUUUGUGAUAUUUCUUUAGAAACAUGCUAUGUUUCAGCAGAAACAGGAGGGUUUUUCUGUUCUCUGGAAGGAGUCUAAUGGAGCACUAGUCCAGAGGGAAGAGCUGAGCCAGCAGACUGUGGUCUGAGGGAGGUUGCCUGGGAACUGCUGACUGUGAGGUCAAUAAAGGGAGGGAGCUGAAGUGGAUAGAAUGGAGUGGGAAAGUCCCCUAUUAACCUGGAGGCUGGGAGGCCCUGACCUUCUGGAAUCUCCCACCUUAGUGGAAAUACUAGGGAAAGUAAGAAAGGACAACUACUAGCUAAUGGGGGUGAGUGGAAAGUGAGUGAUAAACCCAAGGUCCUAAUGUCCUUGAGAAUAUCUGAAUUUGACCUAAAGAGCAACCAGUUCUACCUCAUCAUAAAGGGUGAUUUCAACUCUUUAAUUUUUUGGUUAACAUUUUUGUUAAUUUCAUAAUAAAAUAUAAUUAUUAAUGAGAUGUUAAUUGUCUCUUAUUUUUCUAAUGCAUGCCUUCUCAUACUCUACAAAUGGUCCAGAAUACCAGAAUAGAGUACUCAACAAUGAGCCAUGGCUGUGACUUUAGUGCUGCAAGCCUGAUGUCAUUACCAGCAUUAUGUUGUUGAUGUAGUUGUCUUGGUAUUGGCUUCAUUAUGCUGUGACAGGGAUAAGAAGAAAGUGGCAUAGUAGAUAUCAAUUGAUAUGCAAUAAAUCCUUAGGUAUGCCUCAGUUGAACUGAGGUUAUAAAUGUGUACAAGACCAAGCAUGAUGAUACAUGCCUAUAUUCUCAAAAUUUGGUCAGUGGGGAGGCAAGAAUAUCAGGGAAUCAAGGUUAACCUCUUUUACAUACUUCAGGGGGCUACAUGAAAACCCCCAUAAAUACCCACCUAAAGUACAAAAGUCUUCAGAAAUGAAUACAUGCAUUUUACCCUUUUAAAAUUUAUUUUUUCUGCCGUUUUGAGGAAUGCUAAUUGAAUAAAAUAAUUAUGUUCAUUCUAGACCAGGAGAAGAUUUAGACUUCAUAAAUUUAAUCUUUACUAUACAAGAUAUUAUCUUGUAGAUAAUUUUUUUGUAGAAUUUGAGUUUUAAAUAGUUGUUUGUAUGAACAAACUCCAUGGGAAGUUCCUCCAAAUAAUUUUCAUAGCUUCUGUUAAUUUUCACAAAACAAGGUAUAUAGCAGGUAGAUUUUUAUUUAUAUUACUUUCAAUAACAACAAAGAAAGUUAUGAGCAGAUUCAUUGAUGUCAUCAUUAGCAAGAAAUGCAGUGAAGAUGACACACAAACUCGAAGCCUAGCCAAAGCUAGGAAGAAAACUAGGCCUGGAAGAAUGAGUCAGAGAAGGUGCACAUUGGUUUUGAAGUGUAGAAUUGUGUUUGUACAUUUAGUUAUUCUCUGUUUCAGAUGAGUUCUAUGCAUGCUUUCUACAAUAGGAGAGAAAGACCGGUUGCCAUUUGUUCUUUACAGGUGUGUCAAAAUCAAAACAGGAGGUGUGAUGCCAGUACUGUUCACGAAGCUGCCCUAGGGUUCCAGGAGUCCCUGGAGUAAAGAAGGAUUCAGAACCUGGGCACUGGACCCUGUGCUGACAAGGAGCCUCCCAUUCGUGGACCGACCACCACUAUAAACAUGCAAAUGGGAAGUUGGCCGUCUACAUGGAUAGGAAGGAGCAAGGUAGAAGGAGGAAGAAGCAACUUUUUCUGGAGAGGCAAAGCACCGUGUACUUUUUCAUUUCUAUGACUAGCUAAGUAAAAGUUUUGCUAGAUUUUAGGACCAGUCUUAAAGUCUUCUCCAUUAGAAUGAGUUAAUCCUUCAAAUAGUUAAAACAAAAAGGAUGUGAGGAAGAUAUACAACCUUUCAAUGACACCAGAGCUGCACUGUUGGGCUGACCAACUGAGGGACUUUGACUUGUAGAGUGCUCACAGUUUAGAAGUUGAAGUUUGUUUUCUAUGUUCAAGGGUUGUAUAAGGGAGAUCAGGGAUUGAUAUACUGAACAAAAUUGAAUCUUAUUCUUCCAUAUUUGCUAACAUAUGUUUUUAAAGAACAGAUAUUAUUCAUUUUCCAGAUAAUGGGAAGACAUUUUUAGUCAGAAGGAAACUUAAUUAGUUCAGAUAUUUUAGGUCAGUGGUUCUCAGCUGAAAAGGUAUAGUAGAAACUUUGACUGCUUUUCCCAGGUAUACAUACUAGCAACUUCCCAUCAUUUGAACAAGAGUUGCAGAAUCAAUGAGGGAAAAUGAAAUUCAGAUAUGUAGGGUUAGAAGACACCAACUAAAUAAUCUUAUCUUUUCUCAACCCUCUAGCUUUGAAAAUUAUGCUCAACAGCAAAAAGAAAAUCCUAACUCAUUAAAAUAAAUAUGUUACACAGAACCUCACCUAAAGGGGCAAAGUUAUCCAGCAUCCAUUUGACUAAAUCGAUUUUCUCUUUCAUAUGAUUUCUUGCUGUGCCUGUGUCUUGCUGAAAUACCCUGUAGGUAUAGACUGUGACGUACUGGACUGAUACUUGUUAAAUGUUCUUGUGUUUUUGAGCUCUUGAUCUUAGUCUUUCAUGUUUUGGAAUUUUUUUUUUCAUGUUUAUUUGUAAAGUGUUGUGCAAAAGACUAGAGUGGUGCUAAAGUUUGAUUACUCCACAUAGGAUUGUUAUUGCAAGCUUUUUGUGUAGUAUAUACCAAGAAAUUACCAUUUAUUAUUUUUAAUUUAAGGUUAUUACUCAAAAGUGGACUGAUUCUAAGGCAACUAGGAGACCCUUCACUUUGAGAAAAAUGUAUGAGUGAAAAUACUUUCUUUUUGUAAACAGCUCCUGAUAUACAAUAUCCUCUGGGGUGCCAGUUCUGGUAUUUAUGUUUUAAUUAAAGAGCCCCUGCCUCUCUAUUUGUGGGCCACUUAAACAAGUGGGUGUCUUGGUGAGAAGUUCAGGAGGUUGGUGGUUGUAGCUGAGUUUAGGAUUGACUCAACUCUGGGCAGCAGUGGUAUAUGAAUGCCAAGUGCUAAGAAUGUUUGGAAUGUAGACUUGCCAGCACUGAUAAAGUUUGCUUUGUUCCCCUGUGUGACUUGACCCAUUGAGAAAUUGUGGUUCCCUAGGAAGUUUUAAUAGUUCAAAAUGUUUAGUUAAUAAAGAAAAUGGCCACAACAUAAUUCAGCUUGUUUUCACCUGCUGCCUCAAAGAUUAACUUUCUUAACCAUAACGGGAUAGAACUGUCCCUUGCUUUGAAAAAGAAAUUUAUGGAGCUCAUCACAUUUGUUAGUUUCCACAAACAUGAAGCUCUCUGUGGGGAUUUUUUUUUUUAAUCAUAAAAUCCCUAAGGCGUUGGCAACUAAAAUUGUGGUAACUUCAUCUAAAACCAAAUCUCAGGGGAAGGCACACCCACUUCUCUGUACCAGCUUAAUCUUUCACUAGACUCAGAAGGGUUUUGAAUUACUUCAGGAAAAGUAGUGACUGAUAGAGCUUAACCUUCCGUUUUCCUCAUUUAUUUUCAUUAGAGAAUGGGAGUGGAAUUCAGAACAUUCAGAUGUGGAGUUAAUGUGCGUCACUGCUGCCAGCCCCUGCUGCCAGCGAUAGGUUCUGUGUUUUUCCAGUGGGAAACUCUGAUCCGCAGAGAUGCAUGCAAACCUGCACCUCCUUGCUCUUUUCUGCUUUCCUCCUGAUUGUUGCUUACUCUUUGGAACAUCAGCUGACUGUACAGAGCCUCUGUGGAAGCAGAUUUCAGAACAAAGGUGAUCUGUAAAAGCAGCACGUAAGUCUUGGUUCUGUCUGUUUCCUGUUCUUAUUUGAUAGUUUUAAGCUUCCCUACUUUGGUGUUUAUGUUGAAUGCUCUGUACAUAAUAGAAGCAUUUUCCUUGUUAAAUUUUCUCAAAGGAUUUCGAUAAACUUACUCAUGUUCUAGUCCUAGUAAGUCACUUGCAUGAUUGUUUCUUAUGGCCAACAGUAAUGGGUGAAAGCUAUUUAUUCGUGUUUUCAUAAAUGUGUUUGACACUUAGUAGAUGAAUAAUAAAUGUUUCUGAAACAUAUAAACUAUAUCUUACAUAAACUUUAGUUAUAUUUCUAGGGCAUCGAGGCUUUGCAGUUUACAGAAUGUUGCCUGUACAUUUCAGAAACUCCCGCAGAGCACUUCUCAGGUCAGUAAGACAGAAUGCUGAAGAAGGCAUAUCAACGUUGACAGUGAGCGACUGUAAACAUCCUCGACUGGAAGCUGUGAAGCCACAAAUGGGCUUUCAGUCGGAUGUUUGCAGCUGCCUACUGCCUCCAACUUCAAGGAGUAAUUAUCUUGUUGGCUGAAACCAAUACCUUGCUUUCUCUUUGAUUUAUUUUUACAAAGCUUGGGUGGAAAAGAUAAAUUAAACAACUUCAAAACCACAGAAGUGUUCUUCCUGUGCAUAGAAUAUGCAAUAUAUGUACUCAAAAAAUAUAACAGUAUUUUUAAGCUAAGCAAAGAAAUAUAUUAUGUAUUUUUUUUAAACAAAUAAGACAGUGCUUCAAAAAUUAUUUUAAAAAGUAGGCUCUUUAAUCUACUUUUAUUUAUCAAAUCUCAGAGUAGGUUUUUUUUUUUUUAGGUCAAUUCACACACACCAAAAACAUCGUGUUAAUGUAACUAAAUUAUUUGAAAAGAGAGGAAGUAAAAUCCAAAGUAGAGCAUUAAUUCAUGUUUCAUAGUGCUUGAAUUAAACCACCUACCCCUUCUUGGUUUAGUAUUUCAUGAAGUAAUGAUUUUCACCUUAAUAUAGUAUCUAAAACAUUGCCUCAGGUAACUUGAAAAGUAUAUUUGCUUUCUUUUGCUUGAUCUACUAUAAAGUCUUGAUUGAGAUUUUCCUUUUAACUAAACUGAUAAAGUAACUCAUCUCCCUUUAAAAUAGUACACCAAAUUCUAUUCUUUAUGAAGACAAUUUCAGAAUGGGAAGCCUAGCACAGAUCCCUGAAAGACAUAGUUUCUAAUUUGCCUUUUUUGUUAGUCUGUAUUUUUCUUAUGGCUUAAUGUGAAUGUUCAUUUAAAUUAUAGGAAUGAGACACCUUAAAAAGAGAAAUAGACAGCAUCUUUACCUUGUAAAGCACACUCUUUGAAACAGCAGUUUCAUUACUGUAGAAAUGACAGCUUCUAUUCUCCCAGUUAAUAUCAUUAGUCUUACUAACAGGAGUUCAUACUGAAAGAGUAUUCCAUUCCAUAUGUGCUGGCCAUGCUGAUGGCUGGAAAGAUAGGUGACUAGAAGUCAGUUUUUCUCAUACAUAAAGACACCAAGUGAGAAAACUCAAUUAGUCAUGCCAGGCAUGAGGAGUUGGUUGACUAACACUGAAGCCCCAGGGUCUGGAACUGAGCAACAUUGCUUUAAUAGGUAAACUGAAAACAUUUAGUGUAAGUAACCCAGCUGUGUCCCAGGGAAACUAGCAGUAUUUCCCAGGGAACGGCUAUAAGUUUGAAGAAAUUAUUUGACCUUCACUUCCUUUAUAUUUACCCCUAUGUUGUCUCACACUUCUUUCCUUGGUUUGUUGACUUCUAAAUUUUCCACUGUCCACUAACUACUCUUUGGUUAUUUCUUUUACAUACUUACUGGAAUUUUUUUAACUUGUAAAAUUUGCUUCAUUCUUAGAUGUAAACCUCUAUUAAUUAUUUUGGUUAGUUUUGAAAUUAAUACCUGUUAUGUCUUGUGCUCCUCAAUUCCACAGUAAUAAUCUAAAAUACUGUUUUACAAUAACAAUAAUGUGCUAUUUAUAGCUGAAAUACGAUCUGGAUUUUUUACCCCCAUUUUAUUAAAAAUAAACUUCAGUGUAAAACAGCAGUAUUACAUUAUAAAAUUAUAUUGUCAAAGUAUUGUGUACUUAAGAUUGAGUAUCAUUUUAUAUAAAUCAACUAUUACUCAUUAUUUUUACAUGUAUUUUCUUUAAUUUAAAAUCACAUCCAUAUCUGCACAAUAAAGCACCUUACAUGAACUACAACAUAAAACUGUUCCUCUUCUUGCUCCCCCUUUUCCUUUCAUGUUGGGCCCUGUGCUUGCUCGGCAAUGGUUCUUAAACUAAGUACAUGCCCAGAGUUUUCAAGUGGCCUGCAGCAGGUCAGUUACUGAAAAUAAAACACGUCCUCGGUGCUGGAGAAAUAAACCUAAGUGUUCAUUUCUUCAAAACCAGUAAUGUUUUAAAAGUGAGCAGCAUACCUAAAUAGCCUUAAGUAGUGUAAAUAUAGUUUUUUAUUUGUAAUUGUCCAAAAUAGAAAUUGCGACAGCCUUUGAAAGGAGAUUUCUGAAGGAGGUAUAUAAGAUCUGAAAGUGGCAUUGGUGAUUGAUUUAAAUGAUACAUUUUUCCUGACCUUAGAACUCUAGCUUGAACCUGAACUUAAGUUUAUGGUGAUGUCGUCAUAAAUAGCAUACAUGUGUAAGUCCUUUGCUCUCUGAGAAGACAGCUGCAAGCUGUGAGGGUUGUGAUGGCUAGCAAACAGAUUUCUUAUCUAGACCUGUGGACACCAUCUCUGCCUGCUUUGAUAGUAGAUUGUGUUGUUUUCUUUUGCGAAGGUAUUACCUAAAUGUUACCAUCAAGAAAUAAGUAUUUUCUAAGUAUUACCAGGUUUUGAUGGUUUAUUAACACUAAUUUGAAGUUGCUAGUUGUUCUUAUCUAUUGGGAGAGUUAAUAUGACAUUAAUUAUUUGUUUUAACUUUUGAAGUGAUUUAAUGAAAUCUUAAAGAUAAUUGAUAGUGAACUAUCUUAAGAGACUUGCUAAAGGAACUGAAAAUUUUCUUUACAUGGCUCUCUAAGAAGUACAGAAUAAGUACUGGAUAUUCUAAAUAAUUGGGAAGCUAGGCUUGUUAGUUUAUAUUAUAGUUGUUUAUAUGCACGACUAAGCAAAUUUAGGACUGAGCCAUUUGAAAUUGAGGUUUUUAUGAUUGUUAUUUUUCUUCUCCAUUUUUAAUCCUCUUGAUGCCAGAAAUUCAGUAAAUAAGAGUAUUUUGUUGGUGGUACAUUUUUGUUUGUUUUUAUAAGUCCACUAAAUGUGGAGCAGCUAAUGAAAUGGCUCAUUGGGUAAAGGUGAUUGACUUUAAGACUGAUUGAUGUCUUUUAAUGCACUGACUGCUAGUCUUGCAAUUAAAUAUUCUUUAAUAGACUUCCUUGGUGGUUAUUCAUAACAGGUAAUCUUUCACUAAUAUAUACUUAAAAUCAGGCACUGUGACUGUGGUGAGCAAGUUGGUAUUGCCAAGUGAUAUUUAAUCUGCCUUUCUAAUCUGUAGAUUUAAUUGUUAUAUCAACUUAAUGAUGCAGUAUGCAUUAGAAUGAAAGUUUCUUGAUGGAAAAUGAAAAUUAAAGUAGACUGGGGGUUCAUCCAUCACAAAUACUAAAUAUGAACUUACUGUCUGUUUAAUAGGCAUGAUUAGAGAGAUUAGUGAAGAAUGCCCAUUUCCCUUUCAUUUAUGAAUCUUUCUUGCUAGAGAACAGAAAAUAGUGUGAUACUGUAUCAUAAGUUGUUACAUUCGGAUUUCUUGCAAGGCUGAUCAUAAUAUCUAAAUUUUGGAUUUGUGAUUUUUUUAGCCCCUGCUCCAUUGUUUUAGUCCAUUGUGUUCUUCCUCUUGUUCCUUCCUCUACACAGAUAAAUGUUCUCUUUCCACCCAUGUCUACAUGCAGACACAUAAUGUCUUUGCAUACUUGCACACAUACAUAUGCAUGUAUACUCAUACUUUGUUUUUUGGUUCUAAAUGGGAUUUCCUUAGGGAAGGAUUCCUUUAUUCCCUUUAGUUCAUGCUGUAGCCUCUUUUGUCAGGAGUCACAAGUUUUACCAUUUGACAUGCACAGAGGACAGCAAGUAAGUGAUCAGAAGUUCUCUCAGUAACAACUAGGACCUUACAGUGAGUAAGGCAGUCCCAGAGAGGCUAAGCAGAGUUCUGCCCGGUAAUCCUUACAGCAAAUAGUGGCUACUUUAAAGAAUACUAGUCAACAUUAGAUUUGUAUUUGUUUCUAUGAAACAUACUUUGGAUUUUGAAUUUAGUUUAAUGAUACAACCUUAUACAUAGAAUUUGAUUCUUCCAGAAUAUGAUUUUUAAAAAAAAGAUAAUGGCUAUUAUUUAUUUAUUAGCUUUAAUAAAUACCUCACUUAUAGGAAGGCUAGUGAGGAUAUACAUAAAGAAAAAAAUCUUUGCUCCCUGUAGUACUAAUAGGUGGAGAUAUGCAAUGUUAGGUGGACCAGUGACCAGCAUCGCCUGAAUCUGACCUGAGACCAGUCUUCUCAGGAAAGGUCCUGCAAGAACUCCAUGAUAAGAAGAGGAGAAACAAACAAUAAAAUGUCACUAAGCAGGGCAUUUUUCCAACCCAAUAUAAUAUGCAAAUAAGCUAGGCUAGAAUAAUUUGUUUUACAUUCCUUUACUCUGAUUGGGCUAUUAAAGAACAAAAGAGUUUUAAAUAAUGAGAGGAAAUAAAAGCCAAGAAUUGGUCACACCAUGUGAUUUAAAACUUAGGCAGGAAAGCAUCCUUGAGGAAGUCUGUACAGAAGGGAUAAGGACCAUGUUCAUGAGCUUUCAGUGAUCAUUUACUGGGCCAAGUGUGGACACAUUCUUCUGGUUGUUUUGGCAGAAGAGUGUGGACAGAAAGGGAAGGAGAGAAAGAAAGGCAAGGAACGAUACUUAUGUACGCCUUUCCUUUCCCUGGGUGCCACAGCUUGCUUUUCAGCAGUUUUCCCUGUGGUGGCAUUUAAAUGAUUAUGAGAAAAAUAUGUUGCUGCUUGGUGCUUUUAGUAAUGGUGCCAUUGGUAAAAUUGUAGAUGUCAUUUGCCAAGCACUUUUCAGAGUGCUCUAUUGUAUCUGUCACAGCUGAACUGUCACAGUCUUAUCUUUACAAAUAAGGAAACUAAGGCAGGUUGGGUUACAUAGAGCUUCUAAGCAAAUGGGAGAGAAUGUAAAUUCCUUAGGCUCGCACGCUAAAGACCAACCAAUUUGAGGUGAAAGGGCUAUGGAAGGCAUAUGAAAUAUACUCUCAACAAGUGGAGAAAAUGAAAUACAAGGAAGGUGUGGAGAGAAAUGUUGGAGUGCGGGGUGGGUGCAUGCCCUCAGAGAUGGCCUGGAUUGGCUGGUCCGCUGAAUGGAAAGGGUGUCUGGGAGCAGUAUGGUGGGAAAAUAAGUAGAAUAUUUGGGAAGUUUGAAAGUGCAAAAAUAGCUCUCCAAACAUAAUCGCAAUGGUAAGCUACACUUUGAAAGAGAGUUGAAUUAUAGGUUAAACUUAUUAUGCAGGCUUGUUUUAUGUCUCUUCAAAACUUCAAAAUAAGGACAGAAACCAGACUCUUGCUGCAUCUCUAAAUAGGCUGCUGUUUUCCUUUCUUUUUGUAGUUUUAAAGAAUCAUUCAUGCCAGCACAGUUAAUGAGCUUUAGCUGUUGAAUGAAAUUAUAUAUUCUGUUCAGUAAGGCCCUUCUAAAUCUGCCAUUGUCUCCUGCUUGCCUUGGUGUCUUUAGCACCAGGCUUCUUCUAAGUCAUAAUAGCCAAGUUCUCCAGAGAAUCUGGCUCUGGGUCAUACUGGACCUGUAGAGGAGAGGUCCUUUGGGCAAAGUUAGUCAGAUGGGAUGUCAUUUUUCUAUACCAUGACUUCUCUUCACCAAGCCUGCUGAAAAAUUCUAGGGGGAAGCCAUUCAGUUUUCUAAAGUUUUUUUUUGAAACAGAAUCUUGAUCUAUCAAGUUAUAUAGGAACUUCAGUUUCCUAGAACACACCUGCAUAUAUUGUUGAGUAAAAAACAUGAAUGAGACUUAGUUUUUUCCUCCAAGAUGUUUUUCUGUUGCAUCCCUGUCUUGGAGUUUCUUGUGUAGGCUCGUUAUUGCAUGGGAUUUAAACUUCUCUCUUUAGUACUUCAAUUCUAUGAGAAUUGAAACUUGGACCUUGGGCAUGGUUGACUAAUGUUGUUUAUCACAAUUCUAUCUAAUCCAAGCCCUAAAUCUAAACCAUUUAGUCUUCCUUAAAUAUUUUUCUGAGACGACCACUUUUCUCUACUUCUUAUAAAGGUAAACCGAUUAGCUGGGUGUCACUAUGAAGUAACUUCUCAUUUUCCUCUGUCCUGAGGGCUGAGCUCUGUGAGAUUUGUCUCCUUGAUAUACUUGGUGGCAGCUAUAGACAGUGCUUUGUGCUAGAAAGAAAAGAACUCGAUGUUGGUCUAACCAGUUCAAGCUCUGUCCAAGCACAGCAGUUAGCAAAGCUGGGGGAUUCUUCAUGUGCUGAAUCCCCCUCUGCAAGGAAAGCAUCUACUCUUUGACUGAAAAAGCACUAAGGUUUUUUCCACAAACAUUUCUCCACUCAUUUAACAUAAGAAAAAUAUUUGGUUAACAUAUUUAAGUGCCUGCUGUGUAAAAACAGAUCUGUUAUUUUUUUUCUUAAACCCUGGUGAAGUGUUAAUUUAACCAAUCAAGUUAUAUUUCAGACUUAAAUGUAAGAAAAUCAGAAGAAACGCACAUGAAGCAAAGGCAUUGUAUGAACAGAUACACACACAACUACAAUUUUUCAGUCUUUGAUUUUCUAUUUAUUUACAUCUCUGAUUCUAUAUGGGUCUUCUAUAACUGGCCAGUUGUUUAUUACUUAAACAUUUUAGCUGUUGGCAAGAUUAAGUUGUGAGCAAUCCAAGAGUGCUUUUCUGAUUAUUCAGUCACCAUAUUAGUUAUUUUCAUCCUUGCUGUGAUUAAAUUCCAGACAAGGGCCAAAUGAAGGCCUAAGUUUGGGUCAGAGUUUGAGUACGUGGUCCAUCAUUAUGGUGGCAGUAGCAUGAGGCACUUGGUCACAUUAUGCCUGCAGUGAGAAAGGGGAGAAAGGGGAGAGAGACAUGAAUCCUAGACCUUCACUUAGCUCACUUCUUUCCUUUUGCUCAGUUCACUACUCCAGCCCAUGGUACACUGCCACAUACAUUCAGAAUGAGGUCUUCCAUCUUACUUCUACAGAAUUAGGUGCAGAAUUAGGUAAAGAAUUAGCUAAAAGGAAAAAAAAAAAAAACCCUUACAGAAAUGCAUAGAGGUUUGGUUCCAUGGCUAUUUUAAAUUUCAUCAAGUUGACAGUCAAAAAUCUGCUUUCAGAAAGAACUAUGGCAGUAUAUGAAUACCUUUGCAAUCUUUUCCCUUGACAUAUCUUUUGAUGGGGAACUAAUCUCAAUUAGUGACAAGAAAAAUAUCGAUAAUGAGUGAAACACCCAGUCAAAAGGGAUACCAUGCAAGCUUUCUGUAGUUUACUCUUAUAUUUUUAAGGGUAUGUUAAAAUUAAAGUCUGUGAGGCUCUCCUGUACUCUGUAGUGAGACCGUCUGCUGAUACACUGGCCACUUGGAAUUACUGCUUAACAUGUACAAUGGCUAUCUUAGCCAUUUCUGAAUUAAUAAGACUCCCUAUGCUUUACAGAUCUCAGAUAUGUAAUGCAGUAUAUUCAAGGACUGCUUCAGAAGUAGUAUUUAUGUAGGUAUACACAUUUGUUCUUCUAACAUGUAGACAUUAAAGACUAUCCUUGGCACUGGAUAGCACAGAAUACUAGCUCGCUGACUAAAACAAAUGGCUGCCAGAGUGUAUUAUUAAAUUUCAACUGUCUUACGUGUUAGAAAACUAUACUCCUGUUUUUGUACACAACUUUGUACCUUUUUAUUAACAUUUUCAACUCUAGCAAAUAGCUCUGUUUUUCUUGUCAUUAUUAUGUUUCCAACCAUUCAUAUGUUUUUAAACUAAUACUUGGUAAUGCUCAUAUAAAAUGACAUUAGUUAAAGUCUCAGUGUCUGGAAUGUGCAAGGCCCCGGGUAUCAUAAUAAGUAUCACAGAGACUCCAUUUCUAGCUCUACCUGCUGUACCUGAGUCACCACUGUGAGACAGUCACAUCAUCAAGCCACUCUACAUUACUAAGUAGUGGUGACUUCAUUUCCGUGUUUCCUUUCGGCUACUAUUUGGGAGACUCCCUUCAAAUAGAGGAAGUGGGCUGAUGAAGGCCAGUGUUUUCAUUUCAGAUCCUUCACAUCUCUGGAAAGCUGCAUCCUCUGUAGAAAAUAGUGUUGUAUGUGUGCCAGAGUAUAACCCUGACAUUUAUCAGGGAGAGGGAGGAGGUCACAUAAUGCCUUGUGUCUUUCAGCAGUAAUCCUCCCAUUUGGCAAGAGUUAGACAGGAAGUGUUUAACAAUGGGAUUUUAUAAAAUUCAAUAUAGUAAUGAGUGUUUUUAUAUUUGAAUGGAUCAAAGGAAGUUUUCUUUCUUUCUUUCUUUUUUCUCCCCCUAACAGGAUGGGCGCUUAGAGUGAAGGUAUCUAUGGACUUGGGAGCGUUUGCUUACUUUAUUAAACUUUGUGUAAUAUUUUCCCAUUUUAUCAUGUCCAUGAAGGGAGAAAGGUAAGAAAGCUGUGGUAGUCUCUAUAUUGAUUUCAAAUAGUUUGCUUAAGGAGAGUUAGUGAGGAAGUAGCUGUCUUUUAGGAAGAUGAUUUUAUCAGCGACAGAGGCCUUAGAAUGUCUUCAACUAGACUAUAAACAAUGAAGUUAUUUUCUUUCACAUUUGCACCAUGAGACCUGGUAGUCUUAAGCUUUAUACACAAAUAGCUUUGUAUCAAGAACUAAAUUUACAGGAACUAGAGGAAAAGAUACUCCUGUUUGACCCCAGUCGCACAGGCUCUCCAAGGCAGCUACUGAUACAAGUUUCUUAGGGCUACUACUAAAGGGUUGGUUAGUAGUACACAGGGGACAUCGAAACUGAACAAAGUGAAUCCUUUUCCUCAGAUUUUAAACAUAACAAUGUAGGUCUUCACUAGCCAGUAACCCUUGUCAGUAACAUAGGAAGUUAGGCAGGUUACAGCGAAAGGGGAUAAAGAGAAGGAGAGGCAGAGAUUCAGAAAGGCAUAAACCUGGCUAUGAAAGACACUCGGCUUCACUGAGGACCAGCUACAAGGUCACAAAAUUUGGGGUGGCAUAUAUUCAUUUUGUGGCAUGUUUCGAUAGUAUUUGGAUACAGCCUAAUAAAGACAUCAAAAAAGAAUAUUAUAAACUGGAAACAUCACUUAAGAAGAGAACUCAAUGUAGGAUUGCAUAGCUAUUAACUAUAAUAGGAUGUUUUUUGAUGACAGAUAAUCUGUUUUAUCUGUGAUCCUGUUUUACCUCUCCAGAGUCAUUGGUUGGACUAUGAACUUCAAGUACUCAGAGCCCACGGAGAUCUAGAAUACCUUUUAUCUCUGACCCAUUAUUCACAUUACUCUCUUUUCUCAAACCUUAUAGAUUGUGCACUUUAGCUUGUAGAGAGGGUGCUUUUAUGAAAGAAUUAAUUCCCAUAAUUUAACUUUCCAGAUAAGUGAAUCAUAUGCCAUUUAAAACUAAAAGAAGCAUUUUGGUAAGUUGAGGCUAUGACUACAGACCGAACUUGUGCUGUGCCUGUUGAGUGCAUUGAGGCCUCUGAUGUUUGGGCGUGGGACUGUAAUUGUGCCUUUAAAAUGUGGGGACUGUGCUUGUUACCUCUCUAUCCCCACAGCACUAGAACAGCGUCAAAAAAGGUUUUAUAAAUACUUGGUUAAUUUCUAAGGAUAGUAUCAUUCUCUCUUAAUGUUGCCUUUUUCAGUCAGUAUUACUCAGCUUGGCCUUAAUGGCAAUGAAAACAUCUUUUUUCACUUGCUCUGUUGCCUAGUUGGUCCUUUCCUGUCCUUUCUUUACCUGAAUUUGAUAGAUACUUAAAAUUAUCCUUAAGCUUCACAAGAGCUAUGUCACCUAUACGACAUAUGGAAUUUCUUAGACAGAUGGCCUAAUAGUGACAUUAAUUUGGUUCAUUGUGCUAAUCUGUCCCAUUCCAUGUGGGCCCCAAGUCAUACAUCUAACAUAAUUUUGCUUUUUAAGGUAUAUGUCUGUACUGGCUAGUUUUGUGUCAACUUGACACAGCUGGAGUUAUCACAGAGAAAGGAGCUUCAGUUGAGGAAAUGCCUCCAUGAGAUCCAGCUGUAAGGCAUUUUCUCAAUUAGUGAUCAAGGGGAAAAGGCCCCUUGUGGGUAGAAUCAUCUCGGGGCUGGUAAUAAGAGAGCAGGCUGAGCAAGCCAGGGGAGCAAGCCAGUAAGGAACAUCCCUCCAUGGCCUCUGCAUCAGCUCCUGCUUCCUGACCUGCUUGAGUUCCAGUCCUGAAUUCCUUUGGUGAUGAACAUCAGUAUGGAAGUGUAAGCUGAAUAAACCCUUUCCUCUCCAACUUGCUUCUUGGUCAUGAUGUUUGUGCAGGAAUAGAAACCCUGACUAAGACAAUGUCCAAUUGAGAAAACCUUUAUUCUCAAGUUUAACUUGUCAUCUUAACAUAAAUUGCCAUUUUACGCAGGAACUGUUCAGGCGAAGUGCAGUUAGUGAGGCCUGGACUUUUAUCACUUGAGUUUCUGUUAGUAUCCCUCCCUUUAGGGUACAUGUGUGCAGCACUUAGGGCUUUCCCUGUGUUAGGAUUCUAAUUAAACUUCUCCACAAGGAUAUCUUGAGAGACUUAUGCAUUGUAUAACACAUUUCCUCCACUAAUCAUAUUCAAAGGGAGGAAAUAGAAACACCCAAAUUAUUUAAAUGUCCUUCUACCUUCUCUUAUACCUUUAAAAAAUUAAGGAAUGGUUGCUCUAAGGCAGGAUUUCAGAUAUGUGUUCACUCAUUUUUAAAAUACUUGUCUACCUGUUACAAUAAGGAGGACUCUGAUAAGGGUUGGUGACACAGCUGUGAACAAGGCCAGAGCUGUCCCUGCCAUCCCUUAUCUAUUACUGACAGACACUGAGUUCUGGGAAGGAGUGAGUGAGACACAGUUGCUGAAUAGGUGCUGCAUAGAACAGAGCUUAGAAAUUGUGUCUGCUGAAGUAGGGAUUCCUCAAGUUGUUGAGAGUCUAAAUCUAGACAGAUUGGGAAACUGGUAGAAUUGGGAAAGAAAGCCCAAGAAACUGGAAUUUGGAUCAGCUUGCUUUUUAAAGCAUUGAUUAGUAAUAUUAAUAGAUGUCUCAUGCCAGUAAUUCAGGUGAAUAAUAGUGAUAGCUCUCACUUUCUGGCCUAUGUGUUCUAAAAGUGGCAGCGUCAUGCGAAGUAAAUCCUUGAACUUAGAACUGCCGUAUAAGAAUUUUAAUCCUUUUACUAAAGGGAAAACCCUAAUAGAGCAAUGAGUCCGUCUUUUACUACAUUGCCCAAGUCUGAUGCACUUCAGAGAGUUUUCAGAGAAUUGCUUAUGCAGUCCUAUUUGUCCACUGUUGCCUCAGGGUUCAUAUUCAUCAGCUCCUGAGGCUCUUUGCUAUGGUGUACACUAUACCUGAGCUGACUUCUGACUUAAUCAGUCCUGCUCACAGGUCUCAAAGGGGCUGUAGGGGAGAAGCCACAAGGUAAUUGGCACAGGACUCCUAUUUAACCUACCUCAGUCCACUCUCCCUUCUCCAGUGCAGCUUAUUCCUUAGUCUGAAAACUCUAACCCUUUAAAAAACUGGAGAAAAGGGUUAGAUAGCCUUUGGUCGCUUGGAGAUUACUGCUUGCAGGAACCUGGUUCCACGUGCCCACCUCUCCUGUCACCUUCUAGAGAUGCUAGGCUAGAAUAUUUUUGAUCAGAUUUAGAAGGUCUGUGUGUGACCCAGUUGCUCAAAGGAAAAAUAAAUGUUUUCUUUUCUUAACACUGCUAUCUGCUGUCCUUCUUCCUUAGUUUCUUAAUAGUUGUUUGCUUCUGGGUAUCUUUCAAUUUCUUCUUAAUAACACAUGUAUGUAUAUCACACAGAGGUGUGGACAUGUCUAUAUACAAUUAGGCAGAUAAGUCAAAAUGCCAGAUAAACAUUUGCUUCAUUUAUUUUCCUGGUCAAUUAUCACUUUAGUAAGAAUGGACUUACAUGACCUCAUACAUCUAAAAUAGGAUUUCUCAACUGAUACCUUGACAUCACUUAUCUUCACUGUAAAAUUAUAUAUUUAAUAAUUAUAUUUGUCUCUGUAUAUGUAUCAUAAUGAUAGCAACUCAGAUCUCUAGUACUUAGAACAAUGCCAUAUAUAUUGAUACCUUUUACAUUUUGAAACUUGAGGUAUAUCGUAGUGAAAGCUGAUUAUAAUGUGUCUUUUUUUUUUUAAGCUGAGUAUCUGCUACAUUUUUUGUUUCCCAAUGUGACACAAAUAGUAAAUUAGCCAAGAUCCAAACUCAGUCUCUGGACAGUUUAUAUUACAUCUCAGCACAGGAAGAUAAUAUCUGUACUUACUAGUUAGUAAGUCUUUACAGAGGAAGUAAAAUGAACAUAGAGGACUGUGUACUAGGGUUUUUCACAAGCAACUCUUACUGAAGUGUGUCAGCCUUAUAUCAGAGUAAAGAAAGCUAGGAUAACAAACCAACUGAUCCUGGAGGAAUCUGAAGUUUCAUGGCAGUUUGGCAGUCUUCUUUGUCCCCUGCACCUCUAAUAUCAACCAGUUAAAGAAUUGACCAAUUUGGUUUUAAUUUUCCUGUCUUUGGCCUAAUUUUAAGGUAACUGCUCAUUCGUGAAGAUGUAAUUAGUGUUGCUUUAUUUUUCCUUCCCUGUGGGAAAAGAGGCAGAAACACAUAGCUUGCAUAUUCUUUCAGCCUCUCAGCUGUCUCUAGCCACCCAAGGACACUUCAGCACUGGGCUUAAGCAAUUAGAUUUGGAGCCAGUCAGGGUUUUGUGUACAUAUUUGAACUUCUGUGUGUGUGUUGUGUGUGUGUAUGUGUUGUGUUUGUAAUGAAAAGGAAAAAGGAAAAAUAAUGAACUGAGUUAGAAGUUUUGAUGUUUAGAUGAAAAGAUGUUCCUUUGCCACAGUGCUUUUCCUCAUAAGUUAAUUUUUCUAGUGGAAAUAAGUUUCUACCUUUAAUGUAAUGAAAAAGGUAAAGUGGUAGAUCUAAUGUGUGUCAUAUGACGAAAAAAACAUUCCUCACUAAGACAGUGCCCAAAGUAUGCCAGUGCUCGGUUGUUGUAUAAGCUUAGCACAGUUCUCUUCCCUUAGCUCCCCUAGGUUCUGUUUUUCAUCAGAAGAAAACACUGUCAUGUUAAUAUACAAUAGCCACAAAAAUCCUGCCCUAGCCUACUGCCCUUGGUGCUGUGCUGAGAGAUCACUGUCAGAUUUCCUAAAAUGCAAGGUGGCCUCUGUUCUGUUUUCAUCAAAUAUAGUAGGUUACCCGAGAAAUAUUUGCAUUGCUGCUGCUGCUUUUAAAACAACUGCUUACUGGGUAGCAGCAAACACCUUAUGUUUAUCUCUUCAAAAAGAAUACUUACUUAUCAUAGAACUCAGCAUCAUGAGGCUGUGAGAUCUCAGUCCUUCUUUGUCAUAAAAAGUUACAUUGAGAAAUAAGAAAAAAUCCACAAAGGAAGCAUGCUUUACCACACUACUGUUCAAACAUAAAUGUUUUAGGUUUUUACCUAUGUCCUUUCUGUACCUAUGUCCUUUCAGUACUGGUCCAUUUUUGUAGCCCUGAAAUUGUAUUAUAUUGAAAGUAACAGUAUAUUUAAGCAGUGUCAUAAAUAGGUAUCAUAUAAACAACUUAAGUGAAUCUAUUAUAUUGACACUAGAUAUUAUGUCAAAUUACUCUUGAAAUUGCAUUUAUUUUGAUUAAUAUUAUGUUGAGUUUUUUCUAUCACUUUGCUAUCCUGAUAAGUUAUCUUAAAAAUAUUAAUGAGUCAAAAGUAGAGGUUUUUUUGUUGUUGUUGUUGUUAUUGUUGUUUGGUUGCUUAAGCAUAACAGAUUUGUGAGCCAUGCCGGAUUGUGUGUGUGUGUGUGUUUGUGUGUAAAAAUAUUAGCUACAAAAUGCUAACUCAAAAUGUUUAUUGAUCUCAGUUUUGGUCACUACAAAACCUAAUGAUCUUUGCAUUUUGUUAUUUGACUUCAUAUAGCUCUAGCAGCAAGCAUUCUUGACUUGACAAUGACCUGUUUUAAUACUGAUUGACAGCAGUUUAUAAAGACAUUGCAUGAUCUCCUAAGAGGUACACACAAUGGCUACACAUGUAGAAGAUUAUACAAUCUAAUGCAGCAAAUAAGGUUUGAUUGUUACUCACUAUGACCUUAAAAUUUAAAAGCCAGUACAGUGCAGUGAUAGUUGUUUUGUCAUUCACAAGUUGAUAAGAGCUAACUGGGUAUAAUGGAAAAAGAAGCUGAAUAGAUUAAAGCUUAAACAAAAGAAAAUAUAGCAGCCAUGAAUCAGAGGAACCAUAUAGGUUGAGUCUAGCUUUAUACAGUCACAUUCAUACUUUUGGGUUAGACUUGCUCUACGUAGUGGUGUUGUUGAGUUUAGGUCUGUGACUUUGGUAUUUGUUUGCAUUUCUUUAGCCUUUCUUUUUUCUGCUCUUUAUGUAAUUAUUAUUACUCUUGCGGGGGGUAAGGGAGUAGGCAUGCCUGCUACACAUGUGUGUGAGACUUUAUGAAAUGGGUUCUUGCUCCCUUCAUCUUUCCAUGAGAUCCAAGGAUUAGACUGAGGUCAUACGGAUUGCACAAGAAACACUUUCCUGGGCCCUCUUUCCAGCUCUGCCCCCUUUUAAAUCUUAGAUAACUUUUAGCAUAGCAUUUUAAUUCUGUUGCCUUUUUUAAUGCUGUAUUUCCUGGCAUUUUUAUAAUAUUCACUAAAGUUAUUAUAAUAUGCUUCUUUAAUUUGUUAUAAUCAGUUUAAGAUCAUUAUUAAUGUAACACGGAUUAAACGAGUACUGAAUGAUCACUUGGGCGCCUUCACUUUGAAUCUGUCUCCAAGAAGCAUCGCCAUAGUGUGACCCCUCAGGCUUGCCUACUAAAAGUCAAAACUGAACAUACAAAUUGAACAGCUCUUGACCUCCAAAGAAGAUUUAAUCAUUUAUAGCAUCUACUCCUGUUUACUGUGCAGUUCUUUAAGCUGAGGUUUGCAUAUUCUUUCCUGGUUAGAUUAGGCAGCCACUGUGUGGCAGUGUCAGCCACCAACACUGCAAACUGUGCUUGAGCUCACUCCUGCAACGUGAAACUCCCAUUUCUGCCCCGUCGGGCAGAGAAGCAGUAGUGCUUUGGGUUCUAGUGACACCUGCUGGUACUUUGUCUUUUUUAUUUUCUCUAGACUACUUUUUGAGAAAGAAUCAUUUAAUCCAUUAGGAUGUCAUAAAAGGCCUCCUUUUUCUGUGACUAUUAAGCUUUGCUAUGGUUGCUAGAAGCAGCAACAAACGCUUGGACUUUACAUUUGGCUUAAGAGAAAGAUCUGUCCUCUUCCUACAGGAAGGAUUAGACCAAAAGAAUGAAGACAUUGUUGAGUGGUAAAUUUAGAAUGUUUGUAUAAUAGUAUCACAGAAAGUGCUUAUAAGGAUAGGUACUCUAAGAGAACAUGCCUGGGGCAUCAUAGGAUGUUACUAUGUUAUUUAAUCAUUUUAUAACACCUGAGGUACUCAAAGGCUAGUUUAGCAGUUUUACUCCAUUUCUGGUGAUGUUACAGUUUCAGAUGAAUGCUGAAUGAUGAGAGAAUUCCAGUCACAGAGCACUGAUGUAAUUUUUAUACUUGUAUAAAUAUUGCAGGAAUAGAUUCUCUUUUUAAAAAUUAGUACUGACAACAAGGUUAAAAAUCUUUGAGCCAGGCGUGGUGGCGCACACCUUUAAUCCCAGCACUCGGGAGGCAGAGGCAGGCGGAUUUCUGAGUUCAAGGCCAGCCUGAUCUACAAAGUGAGUUCCAGAACAACCAGGGCUACACAGAGAAACCCUGUCUCAAAAAAAAAAAAAAAAAAAAAAAAACUUCUUUGUUACUCAGCCCCUCCUUUGUCCUUUCUCUGGUCACAUUACAGCUUUCACUUUCCUGUGCUUUCCAGGUAACCAUUCCCAAAGCACCUGCACAUAGUUGGUUGAUGGAUUAUAGACUUGAAACAAAAUAGCUAGUAUUUAUCAAAGCUACUGUUUGUUAUACUGAAGCCUUCACUGAAGAGACAGAAUAGUUUCAGCAUCCUAAGUCAUGCCAUUAGCCAUUUGCUAUUCUAUCAGAGCAACAGUUCUUUCUAAAGUUGUUCCAGUAGCAACUAUAGUAAAUGCACAAGAUUUACCUAAAACAUUGAUAGGACUACAAUUUUCCAAUUAAAUUAAAAAACAGUGAUUAAGUUUUAUAGUUGUCUAAUAAGUGUUCCAAUUUGGCAACACUGAUCAAAAUACCUUCUGUUUGGCUACUGCCAUACCCCCCUGUCCCUAUGGCCAUAGUCAGAACUAGCUAACUUUUCAACAUAAAAAUCCACAUUUGUUUAUUGUGACUAACAAUGUCAAAGUGACCUGUGUUUACAGUUCAUGUGGAAAGAGGAUUAAAAUUGGGUGUGACAAUUUUAUUUGAACAUUUUCCAUUUACACCAUUGAAAAAAUACAUAUAUCAUCAUUCAAACCUUAGGGUUUCAUAAUGUUUGAUUAUUUUUUGGAUGUGUUUGUUUUUAACUUGAGAUUUCCCACUUAAAACAGCAAUAGUAUUUUUUAAAUAUAAGAUUCAAUUAUAUUAAAUUCAUGUGUUUUUUCUUCUACGAACAAUAGCUUAAGUAAAACAAGCAUAGAAGAGAAGGUGGUGGGAAUGAAGAUCCCAACGUUUAAGGAAAAUGUAAUCAGAUAUAUUACAUGAGGAUAGUGGCCUCCUGACUUUAAUCUGUUCACAGAGUUUCCCAGAAGAUUGUCUAUUCUGUACACUAUAGAAUUUGCUAUGUCUUGGUUUAAACAGUAUGAUUUCAGUUAUACCAAGAAUCUAGACAGAAAAUCCCAUCAAGCAGUUCUGGAUGGGAGAAGGGAACCUUUUCUUUGAGAUGAACUUAAGAAGUUAAUGAAACAGUGGACUUUUUCUUUUUUUUUUUUUUUUUUUGAACAAAGAAUAUUUUCAUUAAGCUAGAGAACUCUUGCGUGAGAUAAAGCUCCACAUUUUGUGAGGAUAGUGUUUUACUGACUCCACAAGAACAUAUUGCUGGUUAUGCACAUAUUGUAACAAUGCAGUGAGGUACUGAAACUGCAGUUAGCAUCCAGGGAAGAGCAACACAAUAGAAUAGGAAAGGUGAAGUUGUGAUACAUGAAAGUUACUGUUAGGUUUUGUUGUGACUUCUUCAUAGUUCCUUAGAAAUUCCCAUGUAAUUCAUUGUUCCUCACAGAUUUAUUUACUACAUUGUAGAUAUUUGGAUUUGGGGGUUAUAACUAGGGGCUAAUGAUCCCCUACUCUUAGAAAAUAAAAUGUAUGUAGUAUGCAUGGCUGGUGUAUGCCAAGCCACACAUGAGGAGGCCAGAGCACAGCUUAGUAGAGUUGGUUCUCUCCUUCCAUUUUGGUUGGGAGUUAUACCCAGGUUUUCAGGUUUGGCAGCAAGCACUUUUGUAUGCCUUAAACCAUGCUGCCAGACCAUGUGCUCUUCUACAUGGAUGGGCAAGAUGAAAGUGACAUGAAAAGUUAUAGGCAACUUAGCCUAAAUGAAGUAUAUGCAAAGGAGAGGGCAGAAGGUGCAGUAACCGGGAGAUAAUCAGAAAAUAGGAGGUAUCUGAUGCAAAGACGUCACUACCUGCCUAGAUGAAGGAUUCUUCAGGAAUUAGAAAUGCUCAUGGCUAAGUCCUGGUAUACAAGAUAAGUCAAGCUUCAAAGGGUUAACCAUGGUUGUCUCUGUAUUGUUUAUAAUUACUUUAAUUCUGGUACAUUUGGGGUUUUUUAAAUGAGGAUUAGGAAAGACUAGUAUAUAUCUUGAAAUGUUAGAUGUAGUGUGUUCUAGGGAUUUUAAAAAUCAGGUAAUGGCCAAAAAAAAUGAUUUUAUGGGGGGGAGACAGUAUGCCAGGUUUAUAGCUUAAAAACCUCAAUCUAGUUGUUGGCACAGGGUAGGGUGGAGGAAAGUGGUGAGGUGAUUUAAAUACAGAGCCUUACCAACUGCCACUGGGCUCAGAUACACACUUCGGGGGCUUUAUUAUUAUUAUUAUUAUUAUUAUUAUUUAGAACUGAAAAUGACCAAGUUUUCUUUUCCAGGAAGCUUUGGUGAUGCUUAAAGACCAGAACUAAAGUUAUGUUCAAGAUUAUGUUUAGUUCUUACAGACUGUUUGACAGUUUAAAUCCUUAAAUGAUUGUGAUUAAGGCAGUUUCCUUUCAUUCCUGUCCAUUUUUAAACUGUUUACAUGGAUGUCUCUGAAGUUAUUUUUCACCCUGACUUUUCUUUAUUUGGAAUCCAUCAGAGAAAUAAAAUUUAAAAAUCAGGUGGUUCUCAGGGAGGGUUAACUUUCCCUAAGAUCUUGCUGUCACUUAAGAAAAGGUUGGCUAAUGUAAUCACUUCUCCUCCUAGCCAUGAAUGCCAUAGAAAAGUAUAGCAGCUGUACUUUGAAUUACUAGGCAAUUACAAAGACUGUUUCUGGAAUGGUUGUUCCUUUUCUUCUUGUUUUAAGAAAUUUAUAUUCUUGAAGUGAUUAGAUUGCCAGAUAUUAGAUAGCAUCAUUCAUAUAUUUAUUCUUUAAAUACUGUUUAUACCCAAUAAACCCUGGUUCCAUGUUAUGGAUUUUCAUCAAAUAGAAUGAAAUUGAGUAAAACUAAACUAAACUUCCCAGGAAACUUGGUUUUAUAGAGAGAUAGGAAAUAGCAAUACUAACAACAAUGAACUAUGAGUUGGUUAUAGAUAAACAUUCAAGACAUAAUGAUGGAGAAAGGACAGAAUAGGUAGUUCCUAUGGGGUGACAGGGCCCAGAUUUUACCAGAGAUCAGUGGAGGCUGCUUUGGAAGAGAGAUGCUAGAUUUGAGAUUUGAGACAGUAUGGGACUAGUUAGUCUCAAUUACCAUUUAUUUUAGGGCUGAUUCUUGACCCACUACUGCAGUACCUCCUACACUACGAUUGAUGCAUCUAUCCUGCAGAUUAGGUUGUUUUGAGGAUUGAGAUUGGUAGUAUUCAUUUCUCCUUACCCAGCAUUUUACAUCACUGCUGGUAUGUGGCAAGUACAUACAAAUGUUUAUCUAAUGCAUGAAUGAGUGAUUUGUGUUCACACUGGUUCACAGGUGGUAGUCUCAUCAUGUAGGCUUGUUUUGUAAUGUUUUAUAUAAGCGAUGACUUUCUUCUUUGCUAUCCAAUAGAUCAAUUUAGUAAAUCAACUCUAUUCCAGGAACUGUUUGAAUCAUUCAUUAUCAGAAAAGAACUUAGGAAUUGACUGGCUCCAUUUAUGUGUAUGCCUCCAGUUAUAUAUUUCUUUCCACAUACAACAUUUUAAAUUUUCUAAGAUUAUGCUAUAUUUAGUGUACCAGCUUAAUGCAUUAUUUUAUAUCCCAACCAACAUGUUUACUCUGCUCAUUGGAUUGAUUUAUGACUUCAUAACCCACCAAUAAGAUAAAUGGCUGUCAGUGAUUAAACUUUUGUAUAGUCUUAUGUCUGCAGAUAUAAUUGAACAGUUGUUCUCAGUUCUGUUAGGAGUGAAGCAGAACAAAAAUCAUAUAGCUGAGACAGCGAGAAGGUAGACUUGUUUUCCUAAAGUUAGAGAGCAGGGUAGUAAUUCGAAAGGAAAUUCCUCAGACCAUUUUGGGAAAGCAUAGAAAUGCCUGGGUAUUAGGGCCAAACCAGGAAAUCCCAGGAGAAUCCUGGCAUGUGCAAAACAGAAAUUGAUUAGGCAUCAAGAAGGUAAGCAUCCUGCAGCCUUCUUACCGGCUCCAGACCUAGAAGCUGAAAUUUAGUCCCAAGUACACUCUGUUUUCUAGCCCCUGUUCUAACACGUCACGGGAUCUCCAGAUGUUCCACGGCAUCCUGAUGCUUGUGCUGCUCACCGCCAACCUGCUCUAGAGAGCACUGAGUGACAGAUAUUGUAAACAUCCUACACUCUCAGCUGUGAAAAGUAAGAAAGCUGGGAGAAGGCUGUUUACUCUCUCUGCCUUGGAAAUCAGCUAAGAGAAAUGAAUUUUAGAUGGCCUAUAGGUGAUCCUAUCAAAGAUCUGUUAUGCGGUCAACUCUAAAAGGUAAAAGGGUGAGCUAAUCUGUGCUAAGAAGUACAAGACACUUUGGGAGAUUGGUUAUUUUUAACUGUUUAAGAAGACCAAGUAUGGUGGUGUGUGCCUAUAAUCCCACUACUCAGGAGACUGAGACUGUUGACUAGUUUAAACCAGGUUGGGUUACCAUGUAAGAUUCUGGGCUACAUCAAGAAAGCUGUCUCAUAAAAAGUUUGUAUGAGACUAUUAUUUCAUAGAUUGCUGUGGUAGCCUGUUAUAUGAAGCCAAUAAUACACUAAAUGCCUGCAUUUUAGCUCACCAAUUUUUCUAUUAACUUGGCUAGCAUUUUAUAUACUGUGUUUGUAUUUUGAUGGUGUCUGGGACUUGUUACUUUACCAGGGAUGAGAUGCAGUUUAAAUCCUUAUAUGACAAAAACUUGCUAUUUAAGGUGGGAUUGUUUGGUGCAGUUGGGGGAUAUACAUGAAGAGAAUUUUAAGCAAAAUCUAUGGUACUACCUUCCAAGUUCAACUUUUUUCUUUUUACAGUAAAUCAUCUAUAUUAAAUGUUUUUUGAACACCUCAUCUAGAAUUUGGGGUUGUGCAAAAUGUGAGUUCUUUUUGCAUUGGGCAAUCUAACAAGCAUCUACCACUAACCUACAUCUCCAACCCCAACAAUUAGAUAUUGUUUUAAUCAAUAUCAAACGUCUUCUUUUCAGAGAUACUGAAGAUAAAAGUAUAUUCUUACACAACAAACUCUUAGGAUAUUAAAAUACUUAAUGCAUAUAUUAAAUUAUAUAUAUAUAUACACAUAUACAAACUUGGCAUACUAGCAUGCCUCAGUCAUUUAAACCAAAAGACAUUAUAUUGCCUUAAGUAUAUUAGAGAAGCAUUUUGUUUCUUCAGAGCUCCAAAUGUAGCAUAUAAGAUAGCAUGUAGGUCUAGUUUAAAAAAUAUAUAUAUAAAUACAGUGAGUUCAGCAUGUGAGUUCAAGAAAGUAUUUGGACAAACUGGUUUUAUAUCAGAUAAAGAUACUGUUGAAGUACUAGCUGAGCAACUCAGCUUGGAUGAGUCAUUAACCUUUCUAGAUUUGCCUUCAGGCUUAAAGAAACCUUCAAGACAAUGCUCUAUAUUCUCCUGAAAAGAACAGUUACUAUUGAUUGAACUUGCACUUUCUGCCAGGGAUACAGGCUGCUCUGGACAAGGACAGCUCUGCUGGAAGUAGGUGGAGUCCGACACCACAUGUGCUCUCACUGCUUUUUAUUGAGAAAUUAACAAGAAAGACACCUGGAUAUUCCAUAUCAAAACUGGCAUUGAGUUUUAGCUCUUCAACACUUACUGAAAAGUAUGAAAUUAAGUGUAUUAUUAAACAAAUAUUUAUCGACUGAGCCACUUCUUGGGUAUAGAAAUGUGGCAGAGACUUAGAAAUAAAUAAUAUGUCAUGAGAGAUCUGUGUAUUCUAUGUAUUUAUGUAAAAUAAUCCAGCUUUAUUCAGUGAUAUUUUUGCCCUUUCAGUUCUUUGAUACCAAAUAAAUUUUAGUAUUUCAGAAUACUAUAGAACACUUGCAGACAUAAACCACUUUCUUCCUCAUAUGUCUUAAUAACAAUAGUGAAUGUGACAUGGCUAACUCGUAUAAGUAAACAUGCUUAAGAGGUCAGUGUUUUCUUGAUACAUUUUAUGUACAUGUCACAUGUCUUUGUUGAAAAGAUAUUGAACAACAAUAUGAACUAACCAUUAUCCCCAGAACUCGUGGCUCUAGCUGCACAUGUAGCAGAAGAUGGCCUAGUCGGCCAUCGUGGGAGGAGAGGCCCUUGGUCUUGCGAAGAUUCUAUGCCCCCAUAUGGGGGAAUGCCAGGGCCAAAAAGUGGGAGUGGGUGGGUUGGGGAGCAGGGGGAGGGGGGAGGGGAUAGGGGAUUUUUGGAGAGGAAACUUGGAAAGUUUGAAAUGUAAAUGAAGAAAACAUCUAAUUAAAAAAAAAGGUUGUUAACAAGUUAUAAAAAAGUUGUAUGUUUAUUUACUGUCUGUUAUAUAAAUGCAAAUAUCAUUGUCAUUAUACAAGUAAACCUAAUUACUUUGAAACCUUUGUUCAAAUUUAUAGCUUUAUCUUCACAUAUUUGUAUAAUUACCGAUGCUGUAAACACUUUAAAAGAAUAUGAGUAAAUAUCAGUGUUCUAUUGGAAAAAUAAAAAAGCUUUAAUCAACUUAUUGUAAACUUAAUAAAAAUAGAAAUUUUGCCUA